ensembl:snoRNA small nucleolar RNA, H/ACA box 27
UAUGCACCCUUCUCACUGCCAGUUGGACUUAAUCUUAGUUGGUCAUUCAAAUAGGGCAAAGUAAGGUCCUUUUAAAACUCAAGCAAAUUGGAGUUUGUCUUUUAUACUGUCAGAGGAAACAGCA